GUACAGCGGCGGACGGGUGAGUAACGCGUAGGAAUCUACCUAGUAGUGGGGGACAACUCGUGGAAACGCGAGCUAAUACCGCAUACGCCCUACGGGGGAAAGCGGGGGAUCUUCGGACCUCGUGCUAUUAGAUGAGCCUGCGUAAGAUUAGCUAGUUGGUGGGGUAAUGGCCUACCAAGGCGACGAUCUUUAACUGGUCUGAGAGGAUGAUCAGCCACACCGGGACUGAGACACGGCCCGGACUCCUACGGGAGGCAGCAGUCGGGAAUAUUGCGCAAUGGGCGAAGGCCUGACGCAGCCAUGCCGCGUGUGUGAAGAAGGCCCUAGGGUUGUAAAGCACUUUCAAUUGGGAGGAAAAGCUAAUGGUUAAUAGCCAUUAGCCCUGACGUUACCUUUAGAAGAAGCACCGGCUAACUCCGUGCCAGCAGCCGCGGUAAUACGGAGGGUGCAAGCGUUAAUCGGAAUUACUGGGCGUAAAGCGCGCGUAGGCGGUUUUUUAAGUCGGAUGUGAAAGCCCCGGGCUCAACCUGCGAAUUGCAUCCGAUACUGGAUAACUAGAAUGCGGGAGAGGGAGGUAGAAUUCCAUGUGUAGCAGUGAAAUGCGUAGAUAUAUGGAGGAAUACCAGUGGCGAAUGCGGCCUCCUGGCUCGACAUUGACGCUGAGGUGCGAA
rnacentral:rRNA from 1 species